rnacentral:rRNA from 1 species
GACGAACGCUGGCGGCGUGCUUAACACAUGCAAGUCGAGCGAUGAAGCACCUUCGGGUGUGGAUUAGCGGCGAACGGGUGAGGAACACGUGAGGAAUCUGCCUUCCACUCUGGGAUAACUCCGGGAAACCGGGGCUAAUACCGGAUAUUUUCAACUGGCGGCAUCGCCGGUUGAAGAAAGUUUUUCGGUGGAAGAUGACCUCGCGGCCUAUCAGCUUGUUGGUGAGGUAAAGGCUUACCAAGGCGACGACGGGUAGCCGGCCUGAGAGGGUGACCGGCCACACUGGGACUGAGACACGGCCCAGACUCCUACGGGAGGCAGCAGUGGGAAUAUUGGGCAAUGGAGGAAACUCUGACCCAGCGACGCCGCGUGAGGGAUGAAGGCCUUCGGGUUGUAAACCUCUUUCAGCAGGGAAUAAGCGAAAGUGAAGGUACCUGCAGAAGAAGCACCGGCUAACUAUGUGCCAGCCGCCGCAGUAA